UUAAUCCGCCCUGUUUUUCUCUCCUCUCUCAAGGUGGGCGUGGAUCUGUUCAGCUGACCUUCCUGCUCAGCUACAGCCCGCCCUCCGUAACGUCAAAGCGAAGGAAGUUUACAUGGGAUCUGGAGCGAUGAAUGAGGUGAGCUGAACAGAAGAAAAUAAGGAAAACAUUAAAGGAAUUGCACUUCGACCUUUCAAAAUUCCAGAUCUGGGCAUCGCUGGCAAUGUCAACAUUUAUUGCCCAUCCCUAAUUGCCC